rnacentral:rRNA from 1 species
UACAGAGGGUGCGAGCGUUGUUCGGAAUUAUUGGGCGUAAAGGGCGCGUAGGCGGUGCGGUAAGUCACCUGUGAAAUCUCCUGGCUCAACUGGGAGCUUGCAGGCGAAACUGCCGUGCUGGAGUGUGGGAGAGGUGAGUGGAAUUCCCGGUGUAGCGGUGAAAUGCGUAGAUAUCAGGAGGAACACCCGUGGCGAAGGCGGCUCUCUGGGACGGUACUGACGCUGAGACGCGAAAGCGUGGGGAGCGAACAGG